rnacentral:misc_RNA from 1 species
GUAAAACCUCCUUGAUACAAGCAGAUGAGUCAGGGAGUUGAGCCAGUUGUGUAACCAAUUUUAUAGCUGUGAUCUUUAAAUCACGUGCUUCCUGAGAAGAAUUCUCUGACGUUGUAAAAAGGAGAACAGCUUCCAAAAACAGAUUCAUUAGGCAUUUCUGACACUCAUUAGUUCUUGAGAGUGUCUGGAGAAGCAUUGAAACCUUCAAACACUCCCCAGCAAUAGCCACCACUUCCCUGCUCAUAGGUGUCUUAAAGAGUUUCUGGAUUACAGAUCCAAGGUCUUCAACAAGUUCCCCAACAAAGAAUAUGAAGAAUGAGUAAGACUCCGAAUUGAUUUUCCUUGUUAGCACACCUUUCAGUAUUUGCAACCCAAUUGCUUGGACCUGAAUGUCAGGAUCAGUAAGAGCACUCCUGAAGCACCGGGUGGCAUUGCAUAUCAUGGCAUAAAAUACUGGCUUACAUCCUUGGUUUUCUUUGAGAAGUUGAAUUUCAAAAGCUAAUUUAGCAAAUGAAGUAGUCUGUUCAAGAGAGAGAGCAAGCUUCAAC